UACGUAGGGGGCAAGCGUUGUCCGGAAUCAUUGGGCGUAAAGCGCGUGUAGGCGGCCCGGUAAGUCCGCUGUGAAAGUCGGGGGCUCAACCCUCGAAUGCCGGUGGAUACUGUCGGGCUAGAGUGCGGGAGAGGCGAGUGGAGUUCCUGGUGUAGCGGUGAAAUGCGCAGAUAUCAGGAGAAACACCAAUUGCGAAGGCAGCUCGCUGGAACGUAACUGACGCUGAGACGCGAAAGCGUGGGGAGCAAACAGG
rnacentral:rRNA from 1 species